AGGUCAAUGGAAUAGAAUAGAGAGUCCCUAAAUAAAUAUUGACUUUGACAAGGGCACCAAGAACAUUCAGUGAAGAAAGAAUAAUAUUUACAACAAAUAAUUAUGGGGCAAAUGGGUAAACACAUGCAAAUGAAUGAAGAUGGAACUCAAAGUAUAUUUAAGCUCUGAAUGCUGGAACACUUCUUUUAUUGAUAUAAAUCUUUGUGACCCUGGGAUUGUAUAAAAAUCUCUAGAUAUGCCAUCAAGCCAGGAGCAACAAAUGAAAAAGUGUUUAAAUGGAAAUUCAUUAAAUUUAAAUUUUUCCAUCUAAAAAUUCCAUCAAGAAAAUGGAGAGAAAUUAGAUUUGUUGGUGAAUUUGAGUAACAGAUGCAGGAGGAUCAUGACUUCAAGGCAAAGGUUUAUAGAAAGUCCUAAAUUCUGGCAUAACCAAUAGUGGUGGUCCAGGAUAGAGAAGGCAAGAAGUGGAUUGAUGUAACACACAAAAAAAGAAGAUCCAGAGACUGAUACUGGGCAUCAAACUUCAAGCUGAUUAUUAGAAAAGCAAAAGAGCCAGCCACUAGCUCUCACCUCAAACUCAGGCUGAAAGAGCAGAUCCAUGCACAAGCAUUUCACCAAGUCUCAAACUGCUGCCUCUCCUCAGGGUGGCUGGAGAAUGAAUGCCUCCUACUGAAUGCGGGAUAUCUUGCUUCUAUCUUUUAUACCCCUCUAGUGCUGGGAUUAAAGGCAUGUAAUGUGUUAAUUUUUUAGGCUGAUUCAGUCCUGUGUAUCCUUGGGUGGUCUUGAACUCAGAGAGAUCCGUCUAUCUCUUAAACCUAAAUCCUAGGAUUAAAAUUGUGUACCACAACCUGCUAGCUUCUGGAUGCUGGGAUUAAAGAUUCAACUUUGAGCUUUUCUACUUCCAAAGCCAUUUUCAUUGGAUCUACCCGGUUUGCUUCUGUUGGGAUGUAUUGUUGGACAAUUUCCCAUCAAAGGUUCAGUGGAAUUAGCUCUGAAAUUUGAGAAUGUCUUGAGUCCACUGCACAGAGUCACACUUCAAAGAUGAGUCAUAAAUGAUUGUUCCAGUGUCUUCAAGUACUCAAGAGGUCAAGAAGGAAGAAGUCAAAAUGACCAACAUACUCUACUGGGAAAGGGACAGAACAAUUCAGAGGUUGAAACAACAUGUAUAGUUUCCAUUAUCAUCUUUUUUUAAAUUUGUUAAUUCCCCAUGUUUUUAUUUUUUAUAGUUAG
rnacentral:lncRNA from 1 species